rnacentral:rRNA from 1 species
GACGAACGCUGGCGGCGCGCCUAACACAUGCAAGUCGAACGGUGAAGAGGAGCUUGCUCCUCGGAACAGUGGCGGACGGGUGAGUAACACGUGAGCAACCUGGCUCUAAGAGGGGGACAACAGUUGGAAACGACUGCUAAUACCGCAUGACGUAUCGGGAUGGCAUCUUCCUGAUACCAAAGAUUUUAUCGCUUAGAGAUGGGCUCGCGUCUGAUUAGAUAGUUGGCGGGGUAACGGCCCACCAAGUCGACGAUCAGUACCCGGACUGAGAGGUUGAACGGCCACAUUGGGACUGAGACACGGCCCAGACUCCUACGGGAGGCAGCAGUGGGGGAUAUUGGACAAUGGGGGCAACCCUGAUCCAGCGACGCCGCGUGAGGGAAGAAGGUUUUCGGAUUGUAAACCUCUGUUGACGGAGAAAAAAAUGAUGGUAUCCGUUUAGAAAGCCACGGCUAACUACGUG